GCUUGUAAGCGAUUACCAUGUCAGUACAUGGAUGCUGUACUGAAACAUGGUGGUUGAUCACUGGUUUUUAAGGAGCUGGUCCCAAAUCCUAGUUGGGGCCAAUACGGAUUCAAUCACAUGGGCCCUGAGUGCAUGUGUUCAUUCAAUUGGAGUUGUGUGUAAUUUCUACAUGAGAUUGGGUACGGUAAUCGCUUACAGAGAGCAUGUAAACGAUUACCACUGGAGUGCAUGGAUGCUGUACUGAUUCUUGGUGGGUGCUCACUGGUUUUAUAAACGCUGCUCCCAAUUGGGUGUUGUCUGNNN
rnacentral:lncRNA from 1 species